CUCUUAUCAAGAGAGGUGGAGGGACUGGCCCGAUGAAGCCCGGCAACCAAUCGUUAUGAAAAUAACGAUAAAGGUGCCAAUUCCUGCAGAACAGUUAUGUUCUGGGAGAUGAGGG
rnacentral:ncRNA from 1 species